AGAGUUUGAUCAUGGCUCAGGAUGAACGCUAGCGGCAGGCUUAAUACAUGCAAGUCGAGGGGCAGCAUGACUGUAGCAAUACAGUUGAUGGCGACCGGCAAACGGGUGCGGAACACGUACAGAACCUUCCUUCGAGCGGGGAAUAGCCCAGAGAAAUUUGGAUUAAUACCCCAUAGCAUAACAGAGUGGCAUCACUUUGUUAUUAAAGAUUUAUCACUUGAAGAUGGCUGUGCGGCUGAUUAGGUAGUUGGCGGGGUAACGGCCCACCAAGCCUGCGAUCAGUAACUGGUGUGAGAGCACGACCAGUCACACGGGCACUGAGACACGGGCCCGACUCCUACGGGAGGCAGCAGUAAGGAAUAUUGGUCAAUGGACGAAAGUCUGAACCAGCCAUGCCGCGUGGAGGAUGAAGGUCCUCUGGAUUGUAAACUUCUUUUAUAUGGGACGAAAAAAGGCUUUUCUAAGUCGUCUGACGGUACCAUAUGAAUAAGCACCGGCUAACUCCGUGCCAGCAGCCGCGGUAAUACGGAGGGUGCAAGCGUUAUCCGGAUUCACUGGGUUUAAAGGGUGCGUAGGUGGGUUGGUAAGUCAGUGGUGAAAUCUCCGAGCUUAACUUGGAAACUGCCAUUGAUACUAUCAGUCUUGAAUAUUGUGGAGGUUAGCGGAAUAUGUCAUGUAGCGGUGAAAUGCUUAGAUAUGACAUAGAACACCAAUUGCGAAGGCAGCUGGCUACACAUAUAUUGACACUGAGGCACGAAAGCGUGGGGAUCAAACAGGAUUAGAUACCCUGGUAGUCC
rnacentral:rRNA from 1 species